AGACAGUUAGAAACGAAAUUAAGCCAAUCUUUUUAGAAAAGAGCUCAGCUGAGAGAUAAAAGCCAAUUUUUAGGUAAAAUUAAUUAUUAUAGACUAAUGCCAACUUUAAAAAUAGCACAUUUAUUAUAGUCAUUAAAAUAAUAAAAAACAACAUGGUUUAUUUGUUCCGAAUUUAAAAAUAAUAGCACAUUUAUUAUAGCAAUUAAAAGAAAUUGCUAUAAUAAUUUCCUAAGAUAAAUGCUGUCAGGUUUUUACACAACAAUGCGAAUGCUAAUAACACCUUUAUUGAAGUUUGAUGUAAUGGAAUUUAGACGCGUGACGUCACGCACAGGAUUGUUUUAGUUUACUUUAAUCGUCUAGGCAACCGAAGAAGCAGCUGGAUCGCGCCGGACGAUUCUGGUAUAAACUCGGAGUGGUUUCGACAGCAUCUACGCGAAAAUUGCAGGUAAAGCAAGACCACCCUGCAAUAAAUUAAGACACAGCUUUAUUGGAGUCAUCAGGAGCUGAUCCCAAGUGUUUAUCUGGAAGCUGUUGGUGUAUGUAAAGUAAAGUGCUUGGCGACUGUGUAAUGGAUGCAAUAUCAACCCUGUGUAAAGCUGAACCAAAGAUGGUUGUUUCUCAGCAGAGAUAUGUACAUUUGUGCCAGCUCAACACAUUGAAGCAGUUUCUCGGACAGGGUUUACAGGACUAGGAUUUAAUUGUAUUAGGACAUUUUAGUUUUUACAAACAAACCCUACAAAAAAAAACAAGACUGGUGCGCAUCUUGUGACAAAACAAUGACACUCAUAUAUGUUGAGCACUUUGGUGCCUAGUAGUAGCAGUAAGUAGGACAAUCUGAAAGCAUCUUGCACCUUCAGGUCAUCCUACCCAUUUAAUUUAUACUAGUAGGACAAUCUGACAGCAUUUUGCGCUUUCAGGUCAUCCUACGUCUGUUUUAUACUAGCAGCAAAAUCAGAUCUGUCUUAUGUAGUAUAAAAUCCUACCUGUUCGUUGUAUACUAUUAGGUGUUAUGAUACCACAGACCAAAUGAGAGAAAGAAUUUAAAAAAGUGAGUUUUUAUUAGACAUGAGCAGUUAAACAGCAGAUGGUAUAGUUCGGGAGAAGAUGAUUGGUUGAUGAACACAGGUACACAGAUGAUGACGACGACAGAUAACCAUACCUUCAGGUCAUCCUACCUGUUUAUUUUAUACCAGUAGGACAAUCUGACAGCAUUUGGUACAGUCAGGUUAUCCUCCAUGUUUAUUUAUACUAGUAGGAGAAUCUGAAAGCAUUUUGUACCUUCAGGUCAUCCUACCUGUUUAAUUUAAACUAGUAGGACAACCUGGAAGCAUUUUGCACCUUCAGGUCAUCCUACAUUUUAAAUUUAUACUAGUAGGGCAAUCUGAAAGCAUUUUGCACUUUCAGGUCAUCCUACCUGUUUAAUCUAUACUAGUAGGACAAUCUGAAAGCAUUUUGCACUUUCAGGUCAUCCUACCUGUUUAAUUUAUACUAGUAGGACAAUCUGACAGCAUUUUGUACAGUCAGGUCAUCCUACCUGUUUAAUUUAUACUAGUAGGACAAUCUGACAGCAUUUGGUACAGUCAGGUUAUCCUCCAUGUUUAUUUAUACUAGUAGCACAAUCUGAAAGCAUUUUGCACCUUCAGGUCAUCCUACCCGUUUAAUUUAUACUAGUAGGACAACCUGAAAGCAUUUUGCACCUUCAGGUCAUCCUACCUGUUUAAUUUAAACUAGUAGGACAAUGUGAAUGCAUUUAGCACUUUCAGGUCAUCCUUCCUGUUUAAUUUAAACUAGCAGUUUAACAGCAGAUGAUAUAGAUCUGCAGAAGAUGAUUGGUUGAUGAACACAGGUAAUCUCCGCACAAACACUUCUUUAAUGUCCCAGAUAUAACAAGAUGAUUAACUUUACUUUCCUUGUAGGUAAACAGAUGAUGACGACGACAGAUAACCACACCUUCAGGUCAUCCGACCUCUUUAAUUUAUACAGGUAAACAGAUGAUGACGACGACAGAUAACCACACCUUCAGGUCAUCCUACCUCUUCAAUUUAUACAGGUAGGACAAUCUAAAACAAUUUUGUACAGUCAGGUUAUCCUACCUACUCUGUAGGUUGUACUAUAAUCCCUCCUCUCCUUAAGUACCUAGGGUCUUACUAAACUGGGUGAAUGUUUAUGGUAGGAGAAAUAAUGCAGUGUGUAUAUAAACCUAUUGUCUUUAUUGUAACAUAUUGUGUAGAUAAUUUGCUGUAUUAAAAAAUAAAGUUGUCCUCCGAAGAGGGGGGGUGGUGGCGGGCCAAAAAAAGUAGGAUAAUCUGAAAGCAUUUUGCACUUUCAGGUCAUCCUACUUGUUUAAUUUAUACUAGUAGGACUAUCUGAAAACAUUUUGCACCUUCAGGUCAUCCUACCUGUUUAACUUAUACUAGUAGGACAAUCUGAAAGCAUUUUGCACCUUCAGGUCAUCCUACCUGUUUAAUUUAUACUAGUAGGACAAUCUGAAAGCAUUUUGCACUUUCAGGUGAUCUUACCUGUUUAAUCUAUACUAGUAGGACAAUCUGACAGCAUUUGGUACAGUCAGGUUAUCCUCCAUGUUUAUUUAUACUAGUAGGACAAUCUGAAAGCAUUUUGCACCUUCAGGACAUCCUACUUGUUUAAUUUAAACUAGUAGGACAACCUGAAAGCAGUUUGCACCUUCAGGUCAUCCUACCUGUUUAUUUUAAACUAGUAGGCGAAUCUGAAAGCAUUUUAUACCUUCACGUCAUCCUACCUGUUUAAUUUAAACUAGUAGGACAUCCUAACAGGAUUUUGCACCUUCAGGUUAUCCUACCUGUUUAAUUUAUACUUAUAGCACAAUCGUGGGCAGUGGGCAGAUGCCUUGCAUCUGCACGGGAAAUGAACGACCCCGCCUUCCACGAGUUUCCUGCUGCCUUGCAGGUUGGCCUUGUCUGGUCAAAGGCUAUGGGAGUAAACCCAAAUAGAAAAUCCGGUAUGGAGACCCGUAUACUAGUAGGACAAUCUGACAGCAUUUUGUACAGUCAGGUCAUCCUACCUCUUUAAUUUAUACUAGUAGGACAAUCUGAAAGCAUUUUGCACUUUCAGGUCAUCUUACCUGUUUAAUCUAUACUAGUAGGACAAUCUGAAAGCAUUUUGCACCUUCAGGUCAUCCUACCUGUUUAACUUAUAAUAGUAGGACAAUCUGAAAGCAUUUUGCACCUUCAGGUCAUUCUACCUGUUUAAUUUAUACUAGUAGGACAACCUGAAAGCAUUUUGUACAGUCAGGUUAUCCUACUCUGUAGGUUGUACUAUAAUUCCUCCUUUUCUUAUGUACCCAGGGUCUUACCAAACUGGGUGAAAGGUUAUGGUAGGUCAAAUAAUGCAGUGUGUAUAUUUAAUCUAUUGUCUUCAUUGUAACAUAUUGUGUAGAUAAUUUGCUGUAUUAAAAAAUAAAGUUGUCCUCCGAAGAGGGGGGGUGGUGGCGGGCCAAAAAAGUUGGAUAAUCUGAAAGCAUUUAGCAUUUUCCGGUCAUCCAACUUGUUUAAUUUAUACUAGUAGGACAAUCUAACAGCAUUUUGCACCUUCAGGUCAUCCUACUUGUUUAAUUUAUACUAGUAGGACAAUCUGACAGCAUUUGGUACAGUCAGGAUAUCCUCCAUGUUUAUUUAUACUAGUAGGACAAUCUGAAAGCAUUGUGCACCUUCAGGUCAUCCUACCUGUUUAAUUUAAACUAGUAGGACAACCUGAAAUCAUUUUGCACCUUCAGGUCAUCCUACCUGUUUAAUUUAAACUAGUAGGACAUCCUAACAGAUUUUGCACCUUCAGGUUAUCCUACCUGUUUAAUUCAUACUAAUAGCACAAUCGUGGGCAGUGGGCAGAUGCCUCGCAUCUGCACGGGAAAUGAACGACCCCGCCUUCCACGAGUUUCCUGCUGCCUUGCAGGUGGGCCUUGUCUGGUCAAAGGCUAUGGAGAGUAAAUCCAAAUAGAAAAUCCGGUACUUUAAUUUAUACUAGUAGGACAAUCUGAAAGCAUUUUGCA